UCCUUCCGCGGGCAUUUAAGGCAAGGCACGACGACAGUUGUGGUUCUUUCUCGUUAGGCUGUUGGAGGAGUAGUACGUCCGCACUGCCGGCUGCAGGAAUACUGUGAUUCUGUUUUCAACGCAGGUUCCUCUACCAGAAGAAGCCCGACCAGGAGGACAGUGACGAGGAUGAGUCUGUGCCAGUGGCAAAGGACUUGCUUCCGCUUCAGUCUGUAAGCUACUGACUCAGCCGGUUGGUAGCAGCACGCCCGCCGCCCAGCCGUCCCCGAAUUUCGCCUGGAUUUGCAGGUUCCGCCAUUUUCGGGAUACAGCAACCCCAAAUCCGCGGAAGACUUCCUCGCCGACUUGGAUGCUUUACAAACGGCCGUUGGAGUCUCCGUCGUCAUCCUGCAUCGAGUACUUCCCGCAGCUCUGUACUAGCGAAGCCGGCCCAAUCCACGUUUCUCGGACCUCAAGGAGUACGCAGAUCGUAUCUUGGAGCAUGACAAAAGGCAGGGAGACCCCGGGCACAAGUUCGUCACGAUCCCAAUCUUUCCCUCCACCACAUCGGAGUCUCAACCCGCUGAAGAUGGAACGGCCCAGGACUGGUUACCGCGGAGUCUCCUCGAUAUAACAAAGGCCACACGUACGUGACUCGGGAGGCCCUUCACCAACGUCGCCUUUGAGAAGUGCUUCGACAUCAGCAAGAGGCAGCAGAGGGAGCUCUGCGUGGUGCCACUCUCUCCUUCACCGCAAACACCUCGAGACUUGGCCGCAGCAGCGGACACCGUUCGCCGCCUCUCCCCUGGGCUACUAGCACGGCCAUCUCCACGUAGACAGCGAAGACUUCAUCCUCGACCUCCCUGAGGUUUAAGGGGGAUGUAUUGCAAUCAUCCGGGCGGUGAUAAGGAAAAGACUAUCUCAGUGCUCCGGCACGUUGAACUUUGGGAUACGCCCCCUGUUUUGUUUGUAUAUCCCUGACAGUUAUGGUUCUUUUUCGUUAGGCUGUUCUAGGAGCAGUACGUCCGCACUACCGGCAGCAGGCAUAUUGUCAAGCAAGUUAAUAAACUUGCUCUGUUAGUGGUUGACUGGCUUGUUCUUCGGGGUUGCCGGCAGGUCGGAACUAGAACCACCCGAGUUCUGUGGGCGGCCAAUUGCCACAAGGUGGUGUCGAUGGAAACACUCGACAAGCGCGGCUCAAGCCGGAACUGAGAGUAGUUGCUGUGUUCAAACUUCUGAUCAAAUUUUGACAAACUGUGCUCUAACAAGCUCACUUUAGCCAUUUGAGCAGUCAUUCCUUUGUUUCCUAGCGGUUUCAUUAAGUGUCCAAUAAAAUGUCGACGUCA